rnacentral:rRNA from 1 species
UAAUACGUAGGGUGCAAGCGUUAAUCGGAAUUACUGGGCGUAAAGCGUGCGCAGGCGGUUCGGAAAGAAGGAUGUGAAAUCCCAGGGCUCAACCUUGGAACUGCAUUCUUAACUACCGAACUAGAGUAUGUCAGAGGGGGGUAGAAUUCCGCGUGUAGCAGUGAAAUGCGUAGAUAUGCGGAGGAAUACCGAUGGCGAAGGCAGCCCCCUGGGAUAAUACUGACGCUCAUGCACGAAAGCGUGGGUAGCAAACAGG